rnacentral:tRNA from 1 species
GUGGGUAUAGCUCAGUCGGUUAGAGCGCCAGGUUGUGGCCCUGGAGGUCGCCCGUUCAAGUCGGGUUACCCACCCCA